UACGGAGGGGGCUAGCGUUGCUCGGAAUCACUGGGCGUAAAGCGCACGUAGGCGGAUUGUUAAGUCAGGGGUGAAAUCCUGGAGCUCAACUCCAGAACUGCCUUUGAUACUGAAGAUCUUGAGUUCGGGAGAGGUGAGUGGAACUGCGAGUGUAGAGGUGAAAUUCGUAGAUAUUCGCAAGAACACCAGUGGCGAAGGCGGCUCACUGGCCCGAUACUGACGCUGAGGCACGAAAGCGUGGGGAGCAAACAGG
rnacentral:rRNA from 1 species